GUUUAUCUAGUUAACUUCUGUCGCAAAUUUACUUACGUUUUAACAAAUCUGCAUUAAUCCUAACUAUUAUAUAUUUUUGGGGUAGGGAGAAAUAAUACAAAAUAUGGUUAGAAUGAAUAUUUACUUCACACAACAUAUAUUGAUUAAGCUUACGUUAA